GACGAACGCUGGCGGCGUGCUUAACACAUGCAAGUCGAACGAUGAACCCGGAGCUUGCUCCGGCGGAUUAGUGGCGAACGGGUGAGUAAUACGUGAGUAACCUGCCCUUGACUCUGGAUAACUGCUAGCAAUGGUAGCUAAUACCGGAUACGACCCUCGGCGGCGUCGCCGGGGGGCGGACAGAAGUGCGGUCAAGGAUGGCCUCGGGGGCUAUCCGCUAGUUGGUGAGGUUACGGCUGACCAAAGCGACGACGGGUAGCCGGCCUGAGAGGGUGACCGGCCACACUGGGACUGAGACACGGCCCAGAAUCCUACGGGAGGCAGCAGUGGGGAAUAUUGCACAAUGGGCGCAAGCCUGAUGCAGCAACGCCGCGUGAGGGAUGACGGCCUUCGGGUUGUAAACCUCUUUUAGUAGGGAAGAAGCGAAAGUGACGGUACCUGCAGAAAAAGCACCGGCUAACUACGUGCCAGCAGCCGCAGUAA
rnacentral:rRNA from 1 species